GCCCGGAUAGCUCAGUCGGUAGAGCAGCGGAUUGAAAAUCCGCGUGUCCCUGGUUCGAUUCCGGGUCCGGGCACCA
rnacentral:tRNA from 7 species